CUGGCACUGUUAAUCUGCAAAAGUUUGUUGGAAAAGAAAUGUCUGGACUGCUUUGAUCCAUAUUCUGCUUAUCCGGUAUCUAAUGCAUCUCAAGUUCACUGUCUUCAAACUGUGCAUAGGAAUAGUUACGGACAGGAAGACAAAAAAAGAAAGAAAACAAUAUUUUAAGUUGAAUUCAAGCCAGAUUUAAUGAAAACAAGUCCCCGUACAAGUCUGUUGAAGCAAAGGGCCACAGAUCCACUAGAAAGUCCACAGUGCUCGGGAAAUCAGAGUACUGAAUCUCUUAGUGCUGUGGAAACAGAACAGAAGCCCAUGCUUCAGCCAGGACCGCAAUGGCCUCCUCCCAUGGGAGUAACAGCUGCAUAAAUAGGAGGGAAAUCCUCAGCGGAAUAGCUUCCAACACCUUUCUAAUGGAAAUAAUGAUUUGCAAAACCCAGUUUAUGCCUCUGCCACAUAAUUAGUAGCCAAAAGAGCUAAAGAUUAAAAACACUGUUCCAAGUCCCAGCAUCUCUGAAAUUUGGCAAGACCUUAAAUAUUGCACUCUGUGUUCCAAACAGGUUGCCUAUAUGUGAGCAUUGCAAGGAAAAUCUUAGUCAGUUGAGUCAAGCCCUUGAAUCAGUCAACACUUAUUAUAUGGAAAUUAACCAGUUUGAUGUCAAUUAGUGGAAAUUUGUUAGCAGGCAUACCCUGUGGGACAGUUUAUUUUGAAUUCCGAAUACUCUUUAUUGAAGCCAGCUAAGAUAGUUGAUGUGGUCCCUGACUCCUUCUUUAAAAAUCAGAGUAGAAUUAG
rnacentral:lncRNA from 1 species